rnacentral:rRNA from 1 species
UACGUAGGGGGCAAGCGUUGUCCGGAAUCAUUGGGCGUAAAGCGCGUGUAGGCGGCCUGCAUAGUCUGGUGUGAAAUCUUGGGGCUCAACCUUUGAAAGCCGGUGGAUACUGCAUGGCUAGAGUACGGAAGAGGCGAGUGGAAUUCCUGGUGUAGCGGUGGAAUGCGCAGAUAUCAGGAGGAACACCAAUAGCGAAGGCAGCUCGCUGGGACGUUACUGACACUGAGGCGCGAAAGCGUGGGGAGCGAACAGG